GGGAAACAUUAGAAAACAGUCAUAGUUCACUAAACAGAACUGACACUGGUGUGCGGAUGGCCAACACUCAUUGAAAUCAAGAUUGAAAAAGGAUGUUUGGAAAAAGUACAAUCAUUCAAGCCAACUCAGUAAUUAAACUGGAUUAUAUAAUGCCUAACACAGGGUCCAGCAUGGCUCCUGUGAAAGGCACCUUCCUGUGUCUGGGUCUGCUGGUGCUCAGCCUGGGCUGGACACAAGCCCUCAGGCUGGACGGUGCUGGAGACUCCACUCAGACAGAUGCAGAGGACAAAGAGCUUGUGAGGAGCCAGAGAGACUCACCCCAGGACGAAGAGGACAGGGAAGCAGCACUGGCGAAGGAUGAGCCCAGUGCUACAGGACUACAAAGAGUACUUGGACUGGUCAAGCCAGUGGCUAAGAGGUCUUCAGAAGCUGUGCUGACAGCCCCGAGGACCAAGAGAGCCCCAAAGGAGGGCAGGGAAAAGAGGCAGAAGGAGAAGGGACCGAAGCCCACCAAGAAACCCAAAGGGGACAAGGGACCCAAGCCCAGCAAGAAGCCCAAAGGGGAGAAGAAGAAAGGAGAGAAGGGAGGGAAGAAGAAGAACAAGAAGCAGAAGGGCCUCACCACUACCCUACCGCCCACUACCCUACCGCCCACUACACCAGAGCCCACCACCUCCGAGCCCAUAGUGUACGACGAUGAGGAGGACCUUUUCCCAGACUCAUACUGGGACCAAGAAUAUUCUGACCUGACAACUACAGACAGCAGCGUAGAACCACCCACAGAGCCCCCUACGGAACCUCCAACAGAACCUCCGGUAGAUGCCUACACUGAGCCCAUCUACACCAUCGAGGCUGACACAGAGGAGUAUUCCUACCCGGACCCUGAGAUCGAUGACUACUGGAGGCAGCCGGAUGAGCAGACAGACACAGACACAGACAGGCCAACCGAGGAGCGGGUAGAUCCAGAGCCAACCACCCCCCCAGUGUUUGACAUCUUGGACAAGGAGGAGGACUACUGGGAUGCAACAUUUGAGGUUCCUGAGAACUUACCCUUUCCAGAUGGGAAGGAGGUGAGUCCAACUGCUGACUGGAACUACGACAUAGAGGAGCCUACCUCGUCACCUUACGAGACGCCGUGGUACGACUAUGACGACGACAGGAAGCUGGCAGAAAGGAAGGAGAAAGAAAGAAAGGAGAAGGAGGAGAAAGGUAAAGUUGUUUUUCAUUCUCUACGGGGACAUGAUCAAUAA
rnacentral:lncRNA from 1 species